AGUUUGAUCCUGGCUCAGGAUGAACGCUAGCUACAGGCUUAACACAUGCAAGUCGAGGGGCAGCAUGAACUUAGCUUGCUAAGUUUGAUGGCGACCGGCGCACGGGUGAGUAACACGUAUCCAACCUGCCGAUGACUCGGGGAUAGCCUUUCGAAAGAAAGAUUAAUACCCGAUGGCAUAGUUCUUCCGCAUGGUAGAACUAUUAAAGAAUUUCGGUCAUCGAUGGGGAUGCGUUCCAUUAGGUUGUUGGCGGGGUAACGGCCCACCAAGCCUUCGAUGGAUAGGGGUUCUGAGAGGAAGGUCCCCCACAUUGGAACUGAGACACGGUCCAAACUCCUACGGGAGGCAGCAGUGAGGAAUAUUGGUCAAUGGACGAGAGUCUGAACCAGCCAAGUAGCGUGAAGGAUGACUGCCCUAUGGGUUGUAAACUUCUUUUAUACGGGAAUAAAGUGAGGCACGUGUGCCUUUUUGUAUGUACCGUAUGAAUAAGGAUCGGCUAACUCCGUGCCAGCAGCCGCGGUAAUACGGAGGAUCCGAGCGUUAUCCGGAUUUAUUGGGUUUAAAGGGAGCGUAGGCGGACGCUUAAGUCAGUUGUGAAAGUUUGCGGCUCAACCGUAAAAUUGCAGUUGAUACUGGGUGUCUUGAGUACAGUAGAGGCAGGCGGAAUUCGUGGUGUAGCGGUGAAAUGCUUAGAUAUCACGAAGAACUCCGAUUGCGAAGGCAGCUUGCUGGACUGUAACUGACGCUGAUGCUCGAAAGUGUGGGUAUCAAACAGGAUUAGAUACCCUGGUAGUCCACACAGUAAACGAUGAAUACUCGCUGUUUGCGAUAUACAGUAAGCGGCCAAGCGAAAGCGUUAAGUAUUCCACCUGGGGAGUACGCCGGCAACGGUGAAACUCAAAGGAAUUGACGGGGGCCCGCACAAGCGGAGGAACAUGUGGUUUAAUUCGAUGAUACGCGAGGAACCUUACCCGGGCUUGAAUUGCAACUGAAUGAUGUGGAGACAUGUCAGCCGCAAGGCAGUUGUGAAGGUGCUGCAUGGUUGUCGUCAGCUCGUGCCGUGAGGUGUCGGCUUAAGUGCCAUAACGAGCGCAACCCUUAUCGAUAGUUACCAUCAGGUUAUGCUGGGGACUCUGUCGAGACUGCCGUCGUAAGAUGUGAGGAAGGUGGA
rnacentral:rRNA from 1 species